UACGAAGGGGGCUAGCGUUGUUCGGAAUUAUUGGGAGUAAAGGGUGCGUAGGCGGUUUUGUAAGUAUUGUGUGAAAUCCCUCGGCUCAACUGAGGAACUGCACGGGAUACUGGAAGACUUGAGUUCGGGAGAGGGAAGCGGAAUUCCGGGUGUAGCGGUGAAAUGCGUAGAUAUCUGGAGGAAUACCGGUGGCGAAGGCGGCAUCCUGGACCACAACUGACGCUGAGGCGCGAAAGCUAGGGGAGCAAACGGG
rnacentral:rRNA from 1 species